rnacentral:rRNA from 1 species
UACGUAGGGGGCAAGCGUUGUCCGGAUUCAUUGGGCGUAAAGAGCGUGUAGGCGGCCAGGUAGGUCGGUUGUGAAAACUGGAGGCUCAACCUUCAGAGGUCGACCGAAACCAUCUGGCUAGAGUCCGGGAGAGGAGAGUGGAAUUCCUGGUGUAGCGGUGAAAUGCGCAGAUAUCAGGAAGAACACCCGUGGCGAAAGCGGCUCUCUGGAACGGUACUGACGCUGAGAGACGCAAGCUAGGGGAUCAAAUGGG